ACGUAGGACACAAGCGUUAUCCGGAAUUACUGGGCGUAAAGCGCCAGCAGGCGGCGAUGUAAGUCAAUGAUGAAAACGCACGGCUCAACCGGGCGCGGUUCAAUGAUACUGCAUUGCUAGAGGGAGAUAGAGGCGAGUGGAAUUCCGCGUGUAGUGGUGAAAUGCGUAGAGAUGCGGAGAAACACCAGUGGCGAAGGCGGCUCGCUGGG
rnacentral:rRNA from 1 species